CAGCCGCCGCGGUAAUACGGAGGGUGCAAGCGUUAAUCGGAAUUACUGGGCGUAAAGCGCACGCAGGCGGUCUGUCAAGUCGGAUGUGAAAUCCCCGGGCUCAACCUGGGAACUGCAUCCGAAACUGGCAGGCUAGAGUCUUGUAGAGGGGGGUAGAAUUCCAGGUGUAGCGGUGAAAUGCGUAGAGAUCUGGAGGAAUACCGGUGGCGAAGGCGGCCCCCUGGACAAAGACUGACGCUCAGGUGCGAAAGCGUGGGGAGCAAACAGGAUUAGAUACCCCAGUAGUCCCUGUCUCUUAUAC
rnacentral:rRNA from 1 species